rnacentral:lncRNA from 1 species
AUUAAAGCUGCCACUGUUGAAAAUGAAUUGGAGAUUCAUAACCUUGAUGAUGAGUUUGAUGGAGAAGAAGAGGAUUCUUGCAUUGAUGAUCAGAAUGCCUUGAAGUAUUUGUUAAAUAAUAUUUUUUAGAUAAUAUUUGAGUUAAGAUGAUGUAGAUUAAAAUGUGUUUGAAACAAUUAUGUUUUGAGUUGCUGUUAUGAAUAUUAUGAUUGAGGAAGUUAUGUGUUUUUUUAAUUGAAUAUUUGCUAUUAUGAUUAAGUUAAUGAGAAUUUUAUGUUAAGGUUAUUUUUCCUAGUUAUUCUUUAAUUUUGUCUAUUUGUUGGGAUCUUACGAUCCUACGAUUUACGCUUUUUUCAUACCCUAACGAUCUUUAUCGAGAUCCCGAUUUUGACAACCAUGGCUGGAAGUACUAGUGGAGACAGACUAGAAGGAGGGGUGAACCUUAACCUAAGUGAAGUAGAAAAAGUGAGAUCUCUCCUUAGUAAGUUGGAGAAACCAACAUGUACUUGUUCUUUAACACGUCUAGGUACGUUUCUAUUAUCUUUUCCAUUUGGCAACUCUCCUUUUUCGUUUGGAUUUAAUGCUUUAGAUAUACCCUUUAAACAAUACUUGAUAUUAGAUUCUGGAGCCACUGAUCAUAUGACAC